UUUUCCCAAUUUUCCAAUUUCCCCAACUUUCCCAUUUUCUUGCAUUCAAAACACUGUUAGCAACUUUUCUUGCAUUUUUACCUCUAUGAUGCAUUUAAAUUCAAGUAGGCAUGUUAAUAAACAUUGUAAUUCAUUCAUUAAACAUAAAAACACAAUUUUAAACACUGUAGACAUGCAUGCACACAUCCACUCUUCUACUUUAAUUAAAACAGCAAGCAUAGUCUCUUUUCAUGCACUUUUUACCCUCUACAUGCAUCUAUAAAACUCUAAAUUUGUAUAAACCAGAUUACUGUCUUUCUUACUCACUGACUUACCAAGAAUGAUUCAAAAUGCACGAAUGGAAGACAUCUGCAACAAGAAAAAUAGUCUGCAGCUCACCUAUUGGUGGUGCGGAGUCAGUGACGAAUUUAUGUCGAACUCGAGUUCUUGGGUAUUUCUAUCACGGGAAAUUAAUUCCUAAUCAUCCUAAGACAUCAUUUAACUAAUCUAGAACUUGAAAAUUGCUAGGAAUUGAAGCUAGAAGAUGUAGUUAAGGAAAACAAACACUCACCCAAGCUGCAACGCAUUCAGGUGCAGCAGAGGAAGAAUUCUCAUGUUUUAGAGUUGUUGCACUAUUCUGGGCCUCUAAAAUGGUUACAGAAGAUGAUAAGAGGCUGGGGAAGACAUAUAUGAAUCAUUAGAAAGGGAAGAAACUCAUCUAGACAUGGAAAGAAGAUGGGUUCUCUCAGCAGAGGCGUACGCAACACACCCUCUGUUUUAUUUUUAUUUUUUCUAGUUUUCUCUCUCUCUUCUUUUUCUCUUUCUAACUUCAGCUCUCUCUCUCUCUUUCUCUCUCUCUCUCUUUCUCU
rnacentral:lncRNA from 1 species